AUAAACAGAGAACUCCCAAAAGGCUGGCUCCAGCCAAGGCCACUGGUGAGACAAGCCUGUGUUAUGCACUUAUAUAAUACACAGGCUUCACCUAGAGAUGGAACCAGCUUGAACUACCAACUGAUAAUGUCUCAAGUAGACAAAAGGUGACCAAAUUAAGGAAAGAAACCAGGAUCCCGGGAGCCUAGGAAGCAGAGCUGGUCAUGACAACAUGCAGUUGAUGAUGUGGGGGUGAAAAGCUGAGUAAGAGAUUGCAAUCUGCAGUGAGCCAAGGCCCGGGCGGAUGUGAAGGCUGGUGGCAAGGAAAUGGGAAGCGGGCAGCCAAGCUAACCCUGUGUCCACUGAGGGAGUGAGGUGGCCUUGAGCACAGCAGUAUCCCUGGGUCUUACAUCAGCAGGAAAUAGAAGGGGAAGAAGCCUAAAGGAAGUGAAAGUGUUGCUGGAUCUCCUGCUGGCAUUGCCUCCUCUUUCACACAGCAUCCUGGUUCUCCCUGCAGCCACCUGAUCUUCCCUUUGUCCUCUACCUCACCACAGUCCCACCCCUUUCACCACUCCAAGUUGAUGCUUCUCCUACAUCUGGCCAAGAUGCUACUCAGAGCUAGAUGAAAGCAAAAGUAAUUGCUCUAAUACAGGUUUUAGGUUUCAGAAACAGAAUUUUCCCGAAUGUUUAAAAUGGUGAAUGGUUCCAUACACUGUGUUAACCAGGCUUCUUAUAAGCUAGUCCCAGAAUCUGCCCACCAUGUGCAAUACUGCUUCUACAAAAAGUGUGCUCCAAGCAAGAACCUUCAAACAUUUAAUCUGAAUGAAUGAAUAUAUCCUCUUCAA